rnacentral:rRNA from 1 species
AUUGAACGCUGGCGGCAGGCUUAACACAUGCAAGUCGAGCGAGCGGCGGACGGGUGAGUAAUGUAUGGGGACUGCCCGAUAGAGGGGGAUAACUACUGGAAACGGUGGCUAAUACAGCAUACUAUCGGCUAACCCACAUGGGAUUAGCUAGUGGGUGGGGUAAAGGCCCACCGAGGCGACGAUCACGAGCUGGUCUGAGAGGCUGCUUAUCCCCACUGGGACUGAUACACGACCCAGGCUCCUAGGGAGGCAGCAGUGGGGAAUAUUGGACAGUGGGCGCAAGCCUGAUGCAGCCAUGCCGCGUGUGUGAAGAAGGCCUUAGGGGUGGAAAGUACUUUCAGCGGGGAGGCGUUACCCGCAGAAGAAGCACCGGCUAACUCCGUGCCAGCAGCCGCGGUAAUUC